rnacentral:rRNA from 1 species
UACAGGGGGGGCAAGCGUUGUUCGGAAUUACUGGGCGUAAAGGGUUCGUAGGUGGCCAACUAAGUCAGACGUGAAAUCCCUCAGCUUAACUGGGGAACUGCGUCUGAUACUGGAUGGCUUGAGUGUAGGAGAGGAAUGCGGAAUUCCAGGUGUAGCGGUGAAAUGCGUAGAUAUCUGGAGGAACACCGGUGGCGAAGGCGGCAUUCUGGACUACAACUGACACUGAGGAACGAAGGCCAGGGGAGCAAACGGG